rnacentral:rRNA from 1 species
GACGAACGCUGGCGGCGUGCUUAACACAUGCAAGUCGAACGGAACGGCCCUGCCUUUGUGGGGUGCUCGGGUGGCGAACGGGUGAGCAACACGUGAGUUCCCUGCCCUUGCCUUUGGGGUGACCUCAGGACAGUGGGGCUAAUCCCGGAUAGGAGCUCUCGCCGCAUGGUGGGGGCUGGAAAGUUUCGGCGGUUGGGGAUGGACUCGCGGCUCAUCAGGUUGUUCGAGGGGUAGUGGAAUACCAAGGCCUUGACGGGUAGCCGGCCUGGGAGGGGGACCGGACAAGUUGGGACGGGGAUACGGCCCAGACUCGUACGGGAGGCAGCAGUGGGGAAGAGUGCACAAGGGGCGGAAGCCUGAUGCAGCAACGCCGCGUGCGGGAAGACGGCCAGCGGGUUGGAAACCGCUUUCGCCUGAGACGAGGCGUGAGUGACGGUAAUGGGUAAAGAAGCACCGGCUAACUACGUG